rnacentral:rRNA from 1 species
CUUUUUGGAUUAAUUUAAAGUCUUACCUGCCCAAUGAGUGUAUUUGAAUGGCCGCGGUAUCUUGACCGUGCAAAGGUAGCAUAAUCAUUAGUCUUUUAAUUGAAGGCUGGAAUGAAUGGUUUGACGAAAUGGUAGCUGUCUUUUAUAUAUGAAUUUUGAAUUUUACUUUUGAGUUAAAAGGCUUAAGUAAUGAAUGGGGACGAGAAGACCCUAUAGAUCUUUAUUUAUUAUUUUAUGAUUGGAUAAUUAGUUGUUGAUAUUAAUUAUGAUAUAAUGAAAUUUGUUGGGGUGAUGUAAGAAUAUAGAAGAACUUCUUAAUGAUUUUACUUUGAUGUAUGGGUGUAUGAUCCUUUAUUAUGGAUUUAAGAUUGAGAUACCUUAGGGAUAACAGCGUUAUUUUAUUUGAGAGUUCUUAUUGACAAUAAAGAUUGCGACCUCGAUGUUGGAUUAUGAUUACAUUUUGGUGCAGAAGCUAGAGAUGUUGGUCUGUUC